GAUUCUCCUGCUCCAGGCUCUCAAGUAGCUGAGAUUACAGACUAACGAUCUUCUGUUGGUCCCUUCUGGUAGGGCCGAGGAGACCCCAGCAUCACGAAUUAAUUUGGGAUUACAGCCAAGCAAGUUUAAUGUUUCGAAAUAUCAUACACAAUGCAGCUGAGCGCCAAUUUUAUUCCCUGGGUUAGUACUAAUCAGCAAAAUGUACGUAAGGGCCUCAAGAACAGACUGCCCUGAACGUUCCUGUGUGUUGCUCCAGGUACCACCUACUCAUCCUCCAAUAUCCAGCUGGCACCUCCUCUGGGAAGACUUCCUGGAUAUUUCAGGUUGAUUUAGCAGCAUGCUAUGUGUAUCACACUGAAAUGGCCUACAUCCAGAAGCUGACACAUGGUAAAGAAUUAAAAGUUUCUUGAAAGAAUGCAUUAAUGCAACUUAUUUUCUGCUUCUAUUGUUUUUCUUGUAGUAUACCAACUAGGACACUUUUUGAAGAAACUGCAAUUCUUCUCAGCAUUCAAUUCUGUCCAGUGGCAAAGGUGAUCAGGAGAUUCAAAGUAGUAAAAAUAAUCCCCAAAGUAGUGCUACCACUAGGCCCUGGAAACCAACCUCACAUACUAAAGACAGACUGAAGAUCUGCAUUGAGCUAAGCCCUAAUUAUGUUCAGUGUUCUUAACUUUGAAUCUAGACUCCCAGGCUUUGUACUAUGCCGUAACCAAUUGGGCAACUAAAUGAUGACCGGUACAGCACAGCUGCUAAGAUCACAGACUAAUCCAAACUGCCCGGGUCUGUACCUUGCUUCAGCCACUGUCUAGCUGUGUGUCUUGGGCAAGUUAGUUAAUCCCUUUAUGCCUCAGUUUGCUUAUCUGUAAGAUGGGAACAAUAUUAACAGUACUGACCUCAUAGAAUAAAUGAUUUCAC
rnacentral:lncRNA from 1 species